rnacentral:rRNA from 1 species
AAACACAGGAGUGCCUUCGGGAGCGCGAACACAGGUGGUGCAUGGUUGUCGUCAGCUCGUGUCGUGAGAUGUUGGGUUAAGUCCCGCAACGAGCGCAACCCUCGUUCUAUGUUGCCAGCGCGUGAUGGCGGGGACUCAUAGGAGACUGCCGGGGUCAACUCGGAGGAAGGUGGGGACGACGUCAAAUCAUCAUGCCCCUUAUGUCUUGGGCUGCACACAUGCUACAAUGGCCGAUACAAAGGGCUGCUAAGCCGCGAGGUGGAGCGAAUCCCAAAAAGUCGGUCUCAGUUCGGAUUGGGGUCUGCAACUCGACCCCAUGAAGUCGGAGUUGCUAGUAAUCGCAGAUCAGCAACGCUGCGGUGAAUACGUUCCCGGGCCUUGUACAC